rnacentral:tRNA from 1 species
GAGGUUGUGGCUCAGUGGUACAGCGCCCACCUAGCACAUGGAAGGCACUGGUUUCAAUCCUCAGCACCACA